rnacentral:rRNA from 1 species
GGGUUGUGAGGUUAAGCGACUAAGCGUACACGGUGGAUGCCCUGGCAGUCAGAGGCGAUGAAGGACGUGCUAAUCUGCGAUAAGCGUCGGUAAGGUGAUAUGAACCGUUAUAACCGGCGAUUUCCGAAUGGGGAAACCCAGUGUGAUUCGUCACACUAUCAUUAACUGAAUCCAUAGGUUAAUGAGGCGAACCGGGGGAACUGAAACAUCUAAGUACCCCGAGGAAAAGAAAUCAACCGAGAUUCCCCCAGUAGCGGCGAGCGAACGGGGAGCAGCCCAGAGCCUGAAUCAGUGUGUGUGUUAGUGGAAGCGUCUGGAAAGGCGCGCGAUACAGGGUGACAGCCCCGUACACAAAAAUGCACAUACUGUGAGCUCGAUGAGUAGGGCGGGACACGUGGUAUCCUGUCUGAAUAUGGGGGGACCAUCCUCCAAGGCUAAAUACUCCUGACUGACCGAUAGUGAACCAGUACCGUGAGGGAAAGGCGAAAAGAACCCCGGCGAGGGGAGUGAAAAAGAACCUGAAACCGUGUACGUACAAGCAGUGGGAGCACAGAGCAAUCUGUGUGACUGCGUACCUUUUGUAUAAUGGGUCAGCGACUUAUAUUCUGUAGCAAGGUUAACCGAAUAGGGGAGCCGAAGGGAAACCGAGUCUUAACUGGGCGUUAAGUUGCAGGGUAUAGACCCGAAACCCGGUGAUCUAGCCAUGGGCAGGUUGAAGGUUGGGUAACACUAACUGGAGGACCGAACCGACUAAUGUUGAAAAAUUAGCGGAUGACUUGUGGCUGGGGGUGAAAGGCCAAUCAAACCGGGAGAUAGCUGGUUCUCCCCGAAAGCUAUUUAGGUAGCGCCUCGUGAAUUCAUCUCCGGGGGUAGAGCACUGUUUCGGCAAGGGGGUCAUCCCGACUUACCAACCCGAUGCAAACUGCGAAUACCGGAGAAUGUUAUCACGGGAGACACACGGCGGGUGCUAACGUCCGUCGUGAAGAGGGAAACAACCCAGACCGCCAGCUAAGGUCCCAAAGUCAUGGUUAAGUGGGAAACGAUGUGGGAAGGCCCAGACAGCCAGGAUGUUGGCUUAGAAGCAGCCAUCAUUUAAAGAAAGCGUAAUAGCUCACUGGUCGAGUCGGCCUGCGCGGAAGAUGUAACGGGGCUAAACCAUGCACCGAAGCUGCGGCAGCGACGCUUAUGCGUUGUUGGGUAGGGGAGCGUUCUGUAAGCCUGUGAAGGUGUACUGUGAGGUAUGCUGGAGGUAUCAGAAGUGCGAAUGCUGACAUAAGUAACGAUAAAGCGGGUGAAAAGCCCGCUCGCCGGAAGACCAAGGGUUCCUGUCCAACGUUAAUCGGGGCAGGGUGAGUCGACCCCUAAGGCGAGGCCGAAAGGCGUAGUCGAUGGGAAACAGGUUAAUAUUCCUGUACUUGGUGUUACUGCGAAGGGGGGACGGAGAAGGCUAUGUUGGCCGGGCGACGGUUGUCCCGGUUUAAGCGUGUAGGCUGGUUUUCCAGGCAAAUCCGGAAAAUCAAGGCUGAGGCGUGAUGACGAGGCACUACGGUGCUGAAGCAACAAAUGCCCUGCUUCCAGGAAAAGCCUCUAAGCAUCAGGUAACAUCAAAUCGUACCCCAAACCGACACAGGUGGUCAGGUAGAGAAUACCAAGGCGCUUGAGAGAACUCGGGUGAAGGAACUAGGCAAAAUGGUGCCGUAACUUCGGGAGAAGGCACGCUGAUAUGUAGGUGAAGCGACUUGCUCGUGGAGCUGAAAUCAGUCGAAGAUACCAGCUGGCUGCAACUGUUUAUUAAAAACACAGCACUGUGCAAACACGAAAGUGGACGUAUACGGUGUGACGCCUGCCCGGUGCCGGAAGGUUAAUUGAUGGGGUCAGCGCAAGCGAAGCUCUUGAUCGAAGCCCCGGUAAACGGCGGCCGUAACUAUAACGGUCCUAAGGUAGCGAAAUUCCUUGUCGGGUAAGUUCCGACCUGCACGAAUGGCGUAAUGAUGGCCAGGCUGUCUCCACCCGAGACUCAGUGAAAUUGAACUCGCUGUGAAGAUGCAGUGUACCCGCGGCAAGACGGAAAGACCCCGUGAACCUUUACUAUAGCUUGACACUGAACAUUGAGCCUUGAUGUGUAGGAUAGGUGGGAGGCUUUGAAGUGUGGACGCCAGUCUGCAUGGAGCCGACCUUGAAAUACCACCCUUUAAUGUUUGAUGUUCUAACGUUGACCCGUAAUCCGGGUUGCGGACAGUGUCUGGUGGGUAGUUUGACUGGGGCGGUCUCCUCCUAAAGAGUAACGGAGGAGCACGAAGGUUGGCUAAUCCUGGUCGGACAUCAGGAGGUUAGUGCAAUGGCAUAAGCCAGCUUGACUGCGAGCGUGACGGCGCGAGCAGGUGCGAAAGCAGGUCAUAGUGAUCCGGUGGUUCUGAAUGGAAGGGCCAUCGCUCAACGGAUAAAAGGUACUCCGGGGAUAACAGGCUGAUACCGCCCAAGAGUUCAUAUCGACGGCGGUGUUUGGCACCUCGAUGUCGGCUCAUCACAUCCUGGGGCUGAAGUAGGUCCCAAGGGUAUGGCUGUUCGCCAUUUAAAGUGGUACGCGAGCUGGGUUUAGAACGUCGUGAGACAGUUCGGUCCCUAUCUGCCGUGGGCGCUGGAGAACUGAGGGGGGCUGCUCCUAGUACGAGAGGACCGGAGUGGACGCAUCACUGGUGUUCGGGUUGUCAUGCCAAUGGCACUGCCCGGUAGCUAAAUGCGGAAGAGAUAAGUGCUGAAAGCAUCUAAGCACGAAACUUGCCCCGAGAUGAGUUCUCCCUGACUCCUUGAGAGUCCUGAAGGAACGUUGAAGACGACGACGUUGAUAGGCCGGGUGUGUAAGCGCAGCGAUGCGUUGAGCUAACCGGUACUAAUGAACCGUGAGGCUUAACCUUACAACGCCGAAGGUGUUU